UACGAAGGGGGCUAGCGUUGUUCGGAAUGACUGGGCGUAAAGCGCACGUAGGCGGAUUGUUAAGUCGGGGGUGAAAUCCCAGGGCUCAACCCUGGAACUGCCUCCGAUACUGGCAUUCUUGAGUCCGAGAGAGGUGAGUGGAAUUCCGAGUGUAGAGGUGAAAUUCGUAGAUAUUCGGAAGAACACCAGUGGCGAAGGCGGCUCACUGGCUCGGAACUGACGCUGAGGUGCGAAAGCGUGGGGAGCAAACAGG
rnacentral:rRNA from 1 species